UAACUAUGGUGGUGGUGGGAACUAUAAUGAUUUUGGAAAUUAUAGUGGACAACAGCAAUCAAAUUAUGGACCCAUGAAAGGGGGCAGUUUUGGUGGAAGAAGCUCGGGCAGUCCAUAUGGUGGUGGUUAUGGAUCUGGUGGUGGAAGUGGUGGAUAUGGUAGCAGAAGGUUCUAAAAACAGCAGAAAAGGGUUGAAUGAGAACCCUACUUGCCUAAAUGAGGAAUGUCUUUCCUACCAUCUUAAAUACGAAGGUUUCUGGCUGGGUAAGGUUUGUAGUUCACAGUAAAACCUGAUGACACCA